rnacentral:rRNA from 1 species
UGGUGGAUUGAUUUGUCUGGUUUAUUCCGAUUACGAACGAGACUCCAACCUACUAAAUAGUGGUCGGAUUUAUUGGUUUGAAUCACUUCUUAGAGGGACAAGCAGUGUUUAGCUGCAUGAGAAGGAGCAAUAACA